ACGAGUCAGGUUGUAUUACCUAACUCAGUAUCUAUUGAUACGUCUAUACUCAGUGAAUCACUGAGUUCAUAGAACCUCUUCUACACGUCGACAAGAUUAUUUCUUGUGUUUGCCAGUCAUCGUAUGGUGCCUGGCAUUUUUUAUC
rnacentral:ncRNA from 17 species